GUCUACAGCCAUACCACCCUGAACGCGCCCGAUCUCGUCUGAUCUCAGAAGCUAAGCAGGGUCGGGCCUGGUUAGUACUUGGAUGGGAGAGGAAGGGAAACAGUAAACA
ensembl:rRNA 5S_rRNA 5S ribosomal RNA